rnacentral:tRNA from 1 species
GGGGAUACAGCUUAGUGAUAGAGCACUUGCCUAGUAUGUGUGAGACCCUAGGUUCAAUCCCCAGCACCCCCC